rnacentral:rRNA from 1 species
UACAGAGGCCUCAAGCGUUGUUCGGAAUUACUGGGCGUAAAGGGCGCGUAGGCGGCCAACUAAGUCGGACGUGAAAUCCCAAGGCUCAACCUUGGAACUGCGUCCGAUACUGGAUGGCUUGAAUCCGGGAGAGGGAUGUGGAAUUCCAGGUGUAGCGGUGAAAUGCGUAGAUAUCUGGAGGAACACCGGUGGCGAAGGCGGCAUCCUGGACCGGUAUUGACGCUGAGGCGCGAAAGCCAGGGGAGCAAACGGG